rnacentral:rRNA from 1 species
AUGUCUCCUGCCAGCUCGUUCGCGUCGCUCUGCCGGCACAGGCUGAUCCACAUCCACUGCACCACCCGCCUCGGCUGCGACAACCCGCCUGCCACGGCGGCGCAUUUUCUGGCGUUGGAUCGGCGGAGAUCGUUUUCGUCCUCUGGCCUGCGCCGUGGCAUCAGAGGAACCAGGAGCAGCGGCGGCGGCGCAGGUGGCACAGGACGACCUGCUGCAGGUUUCUCCACCUGGGCAAGACUGGCAAUUGGCUCCACUGUUGCUGUCGCGGCGCCGUUCCUGCACUCCAAAUCGGCGUCGAUUCUGCGGAUCGGAAAUGAGGUGGAGAUGGUGAAGGACGCCGCCGAGACCGCGGCGGAGGUCGUGGAGGAGGUGGCCACGGUGGCCGAGAAGGUGUCGUCCGAGGUGGCCGGGCAUCUGCCGGAGGACGGCAGGCUGAGACGCGCCGCGGUGGUGGUCGAGCACGCCUCCAAGGAAGUCGCGGAGGAGGCUCAUCUUGCACGAGACAUCAUCCACAAGGUUGACGAAAUUGAGGAGGACGUCAAGGCAAUUAUUGAACCGAUUAUGGAUCAUGGGAAGCACCAAAGGAAGCAUUUAGAAAAGUAG